rnacentral:rRNA from 1 species
AGAAUCAACGCUGGCGGCGUGCCUAACACAUGCAAGUCGAACGAGAAAGUGGAGCAAUCCAUUAGUAAAGUGGCGCACGGGUGAGUAACACGUGACUAACCUACCUUUUAGUGGGGGAUAACCUAGGGAAACCUGGGCUAAUACCGCAUAAUACCUACGGGUCAAAGCAGCAAUGCGCUGAAAGAGGGGGUCGCGGUCGAUUAGUUAGUUGGCAGGGUAAUGGCCUACCAAGACUGUGAUCGAUAUCCGGCCUGAGAGGGCGCACGGACACACUGGAACUGAAACACGGUCCAGACUCCUACGGGAGGCAGCAGUGGGGAAUUUUGCGCAAUGGGGGAAACCCUGACGCAGCAACGCCGCGUGGAGGAUGAAGUCCCUUGGGACGUAAACUCCUUUCGAUCGGGACGAUAAUGACGGUACCGGAAGAAGAAGCCCGGCUAACUCGUGCCAGCAGCCGC